AGAGUUUGAUCAUGGCUCAGAUUGAACGCUGGCGGCAUGCUUUACACAUGCAAGUCGAACGGCAGCACAGGGAGCUUGCUCCCGGGUGGCGAGUGGCGCACGGGUGAGUAAUACAUCGGAACGUGUCCUGUUGUGGGGGAUAACUGCUCGAAAGGGUGGCUAAUACCGCAUGAGACCUGAGGGUGAAAGCGGGGGAUCGCAAGACCUCGCGCAAUUGGAGCGGCCGAUGCCCGAUUAGCUAGUUGGUGAGGUAAAGGCUCACCAAGGCGACGAUCGGUAGCUGGUCUGAGAGGACGACCAGCCACACUGGGGACUGAGGACACGGGCCCAGACUCCGUACGGGGAGCA
rnacentral:rRNA from 1 species